rnacentral:lncRNA from 1 species
CUUUAAUAUUAGUCACAUCUUAAAAUGAAAGAGGAAAUUGAAACAGGUUUUGUUUCCAUAAUUGUUUUUUAAAGCUAGCAUAUUAAAUCUUGGUGAAUUAUUUAGUAGGAAGGAUGACUCUGCACCUUUGAUUUGUGAAGAAGAUGUGGAAAAUAGACCAUACAUGGAAAUCUGUGAAUCCUAUGCUGGCAUCUGCAUAAAGGAUCAUUUUCUGGGCGGUAGGCAAAUGGGCCAUUGCUGGUGUUGAUUAAGAACAGUCUUAUGGUUAAAAAAAAAAAGAUAACAAAAAUCCUGUCCUCUAAACCAACAAGCAAGUGAC